UAACGAAGUGACACAACACUACUUAGGU
rnacentral:piRNA from 1 species